rnacentral:lncRNA from 1 species
AUGCCUCCUAUCCUCUUCAGGCGAACCUCUGCACGGCUCAUGCUGGCCCUUGCCUGCUCAGGACUGAAGUCCAGGCCUCACUUGCCUCCCCAGGCCCCCAGAGCCUGGCUCCAGUCUGACCAGUCUGUGGGGAGCCCUGCACCGCUGUGCCUUCCCUCAGGUUCCCCACUGCCUGGCACGCCUCCUUCCCAUGCUCAGGCUUCAGACUCAGCUCAGGCCUCACCCACAUCCAGGACCCCUUCCCAGAUAGCUACCAGGACCCCCAGCCCCACGCACAGCCUACAAGAGCACGUGCAGCCCACCAGCGGCCUCGAGUCCGAUCGAGGCCUACCCAAGCCUGGGGUGGACCCACAAGCGGGGAAGGGCUCCGUCUGGCACGGUCUGGGCUUGAAGCUAGGCGGAGAAUCAUCUUCCCUCACGCCCGGCCUGGCCCUCAGCAGGCCUCAGGCUGAUGGGACAAACCGCAGCCGAGAUAAGGCUGGCAGAAGGGCUGCGACGGGUUUCAAGCACAGCCCUGGACUGCAGGCAGGCCCCUCAGAAGCAAGGGCGCCGGGAGGCGGCAUGACCGUGCCCACGUGCUCUGCCGGCUCGGGCACCUCCAGAGCACCUGGCUUGGCUUGUCGGCGGGUCCUGUCUUCUCCACCAGGGCCUGGGCAAGACAACUCCCUUCCUCCGGCAGGUUCCGCUGGCUCCGGGAGCAGUGCUAACAGGAAGCGUGGUGGAGUACACAGGUUUGGGUCAGCUGUGUCACAACCCCCCUCACUUCUUCAACCAAAAGCCACCAGGCACCCACCAGAUCAGGGCCCGGGCACAGCUGGGCGAUCAGAGCUGCGGCUCCCAAGCGGUGGGGCAGCCGACGGGGCGACGGCUGUGCCUCUGCCAUGGAGUACCAGCCUGGGCACAGGAGCCUUCUCUCGGCCCCAAGCUCAUCCCCUAAACAAUGGGAAUAAGAACCCCCUCGCCUGCCUCAAAGCACCCGAAUGGGACAAGGACGUUCGAGUAGAGUGCAAGAAUGAAUACUGCACACCCGCAGGGGACGUCCCCGGACAGGACAGGACAGGCCCACUCGUUCUUUCCUUCUUCCUUUUAGUCUUUUGUCACCCACUCCUCCAUUCGUGGGUCGGCAAAUACUGA